UACGAAGGGGGCUAGCGUUGUUCGGAAUUACUGGGCGUAAAGCGCGCGUAGGCGGUGAUCUUUGUCAGAGGUGAAAGCCCGGGGCUCAACUCCGGAAUUGCCUUUGAAACGGGAUCGCUUGAGUCCGAGAGAGGAUGGCGGAAUUCCUAGUGUAGAGGUGAAAUUCGUAGAUAUUAGGAAGAACACCGGUGGCGAAGGCGGCCAUCUGGCUCGGUACUGACGCUGAGGUGCGAAAGCGUGGGGAGCAAACAGG
rnacentral:rRNA from 1 species